AUGCAUUUGCCAUGGGACGAAACCUGAGCCGCAAUGCCGCGAGAGUGAAGAACGCCCUCGGGUCGAAAGCUCUUUUGUCCGGGAAGAAAAUGGCCGGCCCCUAAGGAGGGCCAAUGACAGCUCCGGGCCAAUAACCCCGGGAUACAACGGGCCCUAGCGCUGAUCCUACAAAAGGGGCCAAAGGUAGUCGGAAUUAGUGGGCAAAAGCGUCCGAAAAGCCCCAGGCUAAAACCCAGGACAAACCCCCGGACUCACCUGUUGGUGCCGGGAGGUGAGGGGCUUUGGGGGGGGGGGGGAGAAUGGAUUUCAUUGGAAAAAUAUUUUUUUUUUUUUGGGGGGAUGCCCUUCCCUACGUUUCCCCCGGGACCGUGCCACCCACAA
rnacentral:rRNA from 1 species